rnacentral:rRNA from 1 species
AUUCCAGCUCCAAUAGUGUAUAUUAAAGUUGUUGCAGUUAAAAAGCUCGUAGUUGGAUUUCUGGCGGGAGCGAUCGGUCCUUCACUCAGUGUUGGAACCUGAUUGUCUCCUGCCAUCCAUGGAGAAAACUUAUCUGGCAUUAAGUUGUCGGGUAGGCAAUCUCCAUCUUUUACUGUGAAAAAAUUAGAGUGUUCAAAGCAGGCUUAUGCCGUUGAAUAUAUUAGCAUGGAAUAAUAAGAUGAGACCUUGGUCUAUUUUGUUGGUUUGUACUCCAAGGUAAUGAUUAAUAGGGAUAGUUGGGGGUAUUCGUAUUCAAUUGUCAGAGGUGAAAUUCUUGGAUUUAUGGAAGACGAACUACUGCGAAAGCAUUUACCAAGGAUGUUUUCAUUA